GCCCGCCUAGCUCAAUCGGAUAGAGCGUCAGACUCUUAGCAUGAGUGCGGGUGACCACAGAUUCCUGCGAUCUGAAGGCUGCGAGUUCGACCCUCGCGGUGGGCU